rnacentral:rRNA from 1 species
GACGAACGCUGGCGGCGUGCCUAAUACAUGCAAGUCGAACGAACCGCGACUAGGUGCUUGCACUUGGUCAAGGUGAGUGGCGAACGGGUGAGUAACACGUGGGUAACCUACCUCAUAGUGGGGGAUAACAGUCGGAAACGACUGCUAAUACCGCAUAGGACAUAGGAUCACAUGAUCCAGUGAGGAAAGGUGGCGCAAGCUAUCGCUAAGAGAUGGACCCGCGGUGCAUUAGCUAGUUGGUAGGGUAAAGGCCUACCAAGGCGAUGAUGCAUAGCCGACCUGAGAGGGUGAUCGGCCACAUUGGAACUGAGACACGGCCCAAACUCCUACGGGAGGCAGCAGUAGGGAAUCUUCCGCAAUGGACGCAAGUCUGACGGAGCAACGCUGCGUGAGUGAAGAAGGUCUUCGGAUCGUAAAGCUCUGUUGUUAGAGAAGAACAGCGCAUAGAGUAACUGUUAUGCGUGUGACGGUAUCUAACUAGUAAGCCACGGCUAACUACGUG